GAAGCUUUUUGCCCUAAGACAGCUGGGUGUCAACCCAGUCAUGCUAUCUUCCAGGCUGGAGUGUGUGAGUGAGGACAAAUAUUAGUUCUAUAACCAGCCUCUAUCGACCGCUAAUAUAUUGUGUGUUAUCAUCAUUUCAUUCAGAGCAACCCCUCUCUGGAGCUCAGCUCUUCAAAUUUGGGAGAUUUACUGUUUAACUAUUGUCCUUAAUGGAAAAACAACCACUUGGCAACUUGGCUGCUUCAUGAGUCGAAUCAAUCCAACGGGUACUAUAUGUAACUUUGAUUUUAGUAAUUUAUUUUCCUCUGGUGCACUGCUAUGAUGGAGGGAAAAUAUUUAGAUUUUAAGAAUAAAGACAUUGUACUGUAUAAAUGUUACAAGAAUAAAGUCAUGGGAAAGUCAUCCUUUUGGUAAACAGUUGACCUGUUCCAAAGCCAGCUCAGUACUAUGUUGAACUUUUUUAAAGUUGUGUUAAAUGUAGUAAACAUGUAGUUUUAGAAAGGUCACCCCUUUAAUUCAGACAGAGAAGUUUUCAAGCCAGACAGGCUUUUAGCUGUCCAACAAACAGCUACAACCGACUAACCUGACAGUAGACUCAGCUCCUUAUUCUGGCUACUUUUGUGUCUCUUACCUUUUAUUAACCAUAAUAGAUGAGUUGUAACAAAAAAUUCAUCAGUGGCUUGCACAUCAUAGAUCUAAUUAAGUGAUUGCGAUGCAUGUUAAAGAGCCAUAUGUGUCUUGCACACCUAAAUAGUCCAAAAACACACAAACUUUCUGAUGAAAUAGUGCUAAAAAACAUUUAGCCCAAUGACAAAGUAGACCUUGACCACUUUCAGAUAACUGUGGCCUAGCUUGUAUGCCGGUGAAAAAGGACCUUGUUAUAAAACCAGUUCUUCUGGCAGUUUCAAGUUACAGGGUCUGAGCUGACCUGCACCCAGUGUGGCCAAUACACCCACUAGUAUGUAGUUCAUACAAUCCCACAUCAGAAUUACUGAAAUGGCCCUUUAGCCAGACUGUAAACAUGUAAAGUUGGACAUGUCAGCAUGAUACUAAAAAGGGUUCCUUGGCUCUUACAGACAGCUUCAAAUGGACACUUGAGGGGCUGCAGUUUAUUUUACACUUUCACUCAUAGAUUUCGUUUCCAACUCCAGAGGAUGCUGCAGAAGACUUGUAGAGAUAUGUCAGUCUUAUGAAAGUCAGCUCUAAGUGUACGUAAGCAAUAUGAGCCAAUUCCCAUCAGUAUCUGUUUCCUCUUCUUUUAAUUUUUGUUAUUUGAUGUACAGAUAAAUAAAGAAGGGGAUCCUUUCUACACACC